rnacentral:rRNA from 1 species
UGGGCGUAAGCGAGCGCAGGCGGUUGCAUAAGUCAGAAGUAAAAGGCAGUGGCUCAACCAUUGUGUGCUUUUGAAACUGUACAACUUGAGUGCAGAAGGGGAGAGUGGAAUUCCAUGUGUAGCGGUGAAAUGCGUAGAUAUAUGGAGGAACACCGGUGGCGAAAGCGGCUCUCUGGUCUGUAACUGACGCUGAAGCUCGAAAGCGUGGGGAGCGAACAGGAUUAGAUACCC